rnacentral:rRNA from 1 species
UACGGAGGGUGCGAGCGUUGUCCGGAAUCACUGGGCGUAAAGGGCGCGUAGGCGGCCUGAUAAGUCGGGGGUGAAAUCCUGCGGCUUAACCGCAGGGCUGCCUUCUAAACUGUCGGGCUCGAGCACAGUAGAGGCAGGUGGAAUUCCCGGUGUAGCGGUGGAAUGCGUAGAGAUCAGGAGGAACACCCGUGGCGAAGGCGGCACUCUGGAUCGGCCCUGACGCUGAGGCGCGAAAGCGUGGGGAGCGAACGGG